rnacentral:rRNA from 1 species
AGAGUUUGAUCAUGGCUCAGGAUGAACGCUAGCGGCAGGCUUAAUACAUGCAAGUCGUGGGGCAGCAGGGGUAGCAAUACCCGCUGGCGACCGGCAAACGGGUGCGGAACACGUACGCAACCUUCCUUUAACUGGAGAAUAGCCCCUCGAAAGAGGGAUUAAUACUCCGUAACAUAUACAUGUGGCAUCACAAGUAUAUUAUAGCUCCGGCGGUUAAAGAUGGGCGUGCGCCUGAUUAGAUAGUUGGCGGGGUAACGGCCCACCAAGUCUGCGAUCAGUAACUGGUGUGAGAGCACGACCAGUCACACGGGCACUGAGACACGGGCCCGACUCCUACGGGAGGCAGCAGUAAGGAAUAUUGGUCAAUGGACGCAAGUCUGAACCAGCCAUGCCGCGUGGAGGAUUAAGGCCCUCUGGGUUGUAAACUCCUUUUAUCUGGGAAGAAAUGCAUUUUUUCUAAAGUGCUUGACGGUACCAGAGGAAUAAGCACCGGCUAACUCCGUGCCAGCAGCCGCGGUAAUACGGAGGGUGCAAGCGUUAUCCGGAUUCACUGGGUUUAAAGGGUGCGUAGGCGGGCAGGUAAGUCCGUGGUGAAAUCUCUGAGCUUAACUCAGAAACUGCCAUGGAUACUAUUUGUCUUGAAUAUUGUGGAGGUAAGCGGAAUAUGUCAUGUAGCGGUGAAAUGCUUAGAUAUGACAUAGAACACCAAUUGCGAAGGCAGCUUACUACACAGUUAUUGACGCUGAGGCACGAAAGCGUGGGGAUCAAACAGGAUUAGAUACCCUAGUAGUCC